ACAAUUUUGUGGUUUGUAAGUGUGAUGAUUGGGUUUUCACGCUCAUGUGUGAGAUGUGCCUCCCUCAAACCUUGUUACGUCAUUGGCACAUUAAACAUCUCACA